UCAGGUUAAACUUGAAUAUCCCUGGUAAACUUGAAGAGGAAAAAGAAUUGACAAAAUGACAACCCGGUUGGGGAGUAUGAAAGGUAAAAGAGCAAUCCAGGGUGCUAGCUUUCCUUACACUGGGGGCUGUUGGGCUAAUGACAGAUGAAUGAGCCCCAGUUCACCAGCUGCAGAGACAGUCUUCCCUGACCACUGCUUCCAGUCACUUGGUUAUUUGGAUUAUCGUUCUGCAUUCUAAUUCUGUUUCCUUCAUUAGAAUUUUUGGAAAAGCCCAUUCAGGCAUGGACAUGAGAACUAAAAAGCUCUAGGAAACAUGGCAAGGACCUAAGUGGGGUAUAUGAAGUAGCAGCUGUCUGGCUCUUGGUAAAGGUCACACUGCACUCUGAGGGUUAUAGUCAGAACAUAAGAAAUUCAACACUACACUCCCUUUCUCUGACCAACACAGUGGGCCUGGGGAGGCAGAGGCACUAGGAGCUCAAUUUUAGAGAAGAUAUCAUGAAUAUCUUCAAGAUCCAUUGCUUCCAUUUAAAUGGUGUCACUUCCCUGGCCCUAUCUUCCCACCACUGCAGCCUAAGAUCACAGAGCUAUAUUCCCUUUUCCUAGAAUACAGACUGUAAAUACCAGUUUUUCCACCUGUGUAAUAGGUGUUACCUCAGGGUAAUGAUAAAAAUUAAAUUAGAUGAUGUAAAGUAUUUAGCUCUGUGCCUAACAGUAUGCAGUGGUUAUGAUAUUUUAUCAUUAGCCCUAUGAUAAGUUGGUUGGGAUAGGAAGGGGGUUGAAGAUGAGGAAGAAAUUCUUUCUUCACUAUUGUGUCACCAUUAGGGGAAUUUCUGAACAACUGCAUAGUGUGAUACAUAAUACAACUGCUGUAUUAGAGGACUAGGCAUUCAAAGAUUUUUUCCCAUUAGAGAUAAACACAUUGAAAUACAUACUUCUAAUUGGAGGAUGUAAAACAGAUACUUAACAGAAAUAUUUUUCUCUCUCUGAGGCAACUGUUUGAUAAAGAUUUUCAGGGAAGUGGAAAGAAUUGUUAGCAAAUUAUCUUCUACUCUGCCUCAUUCACCUGCUGUCGCAUCUCAUUUCUCACCCUGUAUGUCUGCCACCUUCGGGGCCUCCUAACAUGGCUGUUUUUGCCAACACUAUGUUCUUAGUUUCUACUGUCACUACCAGGCCUCAGGAUCAUAUUUCCCAAGGAAGGAUUCUUCUCAAGCAUCUCAGUUGCUUCCCUCCGGGACACUGCAUAAAAACAUCUACAGAGGGUAUCCCUUCAUGCAGUCAUCCAGCCUAUACUGGAACAACUUGAACAACAUGGAACUCACAGUCUGCCUAAAGACCAGGCUCUCAGUCACUAAGCUGCACCUCCUCUUGCCAUGUACUGGGUGAAUAAUUACCAUUAACUCUCUCACAUGUGUGUAUUUUACAAGGUUUAGACUAAGGUCUUUUAUAUUUUCACUAACAUCAGUGGGAAGCUGGAAGGACAACAAAGAAAUUAAUUUUGUUAAAAUUUAUUAUGGUAUUUGAAACCACCUUUAUAUAAAUCUUGUCUAUCCAGAACUCUGAUGAAAGAUGACCAUUUUAACUUUGUUUUCUGUUUGUUUUCGUAAAUGACUUCUGGUUAGUUUACCACUAAUGGUGCUGAAAUGCCUGCAGGUGAACACAUCAUACAGGCUCUUUCUGUAUCUUUCAUUAGAUCUGAUCAAGUAAUAAAGAUGUCCUAAGAUGUGUGGGCUACUGCAUCCAUGGUGUAAAGUGUUUAUAUUUCAGCAGGUUACUGAAUCAUAAAAACUCUUAGAAGCAUAGCAUUCCAAGGUAGGCAUGCAUUUGCUACUAAAAUGCUACAUUUUAUUUGUACAAAAGAAAAAAGAAAUACAUAGUUUUCAAUUUUUUUUGGACAAAUUGAGAUAUAAAUCAAUUUUUUUAAAUUAACACAAAUAAAUUAUCUCAGAAUCUCUUUAUUGUUACACUCAUGCUUGAGCUCUUAGAAGUCAUUUCAUGAGGUAUGUUUGUAUCUUUCUAGAAAAAUUAAAUAGUGACAUAUUGUAUGUUAUAAGCUUUGGGGAUCAUCUAGUUCCCUUCAGAUUAUAACUGCAUGCUACAGCAAGAUGAAAAGUAGGGAAAAUUAAAGCUAUCACCUGGUAUUAGGCAAUAUGAAUCCAGAUGUCCUGCUAAAGUUUUCACUUUUCAACUAAGUUUUUAUUAACAGGAUCAGCAAGGGAAGAAUGCAAAGUUAAAAACAUGAAUUAAUGCUUUCUUCUGAGUUACCCAGGAGAUUUUACCAUGGGUCUUGGAAUUGAUAUCCCUCACAGAUAUAAAUUAAAAAAAAAAUCUACCCACUGUACAUUUUUGAAAGUUUUAAAAAAAAAUUUUGGGGAGAGGGAGGCAAAUGUUCUUACUUAAGUUGGUAUACUGGAACAUCUUUACUCUUGGAAGACAGAUAGUGAAUAAUAAACUAUACGACAAGUUGUUUAUAGGGAAAAAAUUAAAUCAGCUGAACAUGUCUACUUACUAUUGUACUUUUUUUGUCGGUAUAAAAGAAAAGUGUAGUUCCUCUCAGCUCUGUCCAAUAAUGUUUAUACUCCUGCAGGAAAGAAAUUAUAAGCAUUAUUUCCUUAGUGUAUAUUCAACUAUUUUCCUCUUGAUACUUUCCUUUGUAACUUUCUUAAUUGCUGUGUGGUAUAAGUUUCCUUUUUACUAUAAGAUAAAUCACCUACUUUUUAUGGCUUAAUGUAACAUUUAAUUCUUGGUUAAAUCCUUCACAAAUGUAUUUUAGUAUGAGGUGUGAUGUGGGGUUGUAAUUUGAUUUGUGUUUAAGUAGAUCAUUUUCCAAAACUUUCCUCAUUAAGAUGCUUGACUUUUUAUGCAGUUUCAGUGGAACCUUGCACCUGUAAGAGGGGCCUGUAUAAGGGGCCAGGUUAGGACAAGCAUUUAGUAUCUUCCUUCCAAGACAGUUGAAAGGACUGAGUGAAAUAAUACACAUAAAUCACUUAGCAUAGUACAUGGUUCAUAGUUUAGGUUCAAUAAACAGAAUAUAUAUUUAUAUAGGUCAAGGAAAUAUGAGCAAUUGAUAAUGAUAAAAAUAACAAUCAAAACUGAACUUUGAAGUUCAAAUUUCAUUCAUGUGGUGAACAUUUCAUUAUUAAUACAUUCACAUUAUUAUGAGUUCUAUAGAAAUACAAUUUUUUAAGUUUAAAAUAUUUAAAUUACCCAGUCAGACACUCACUCAAGUGAAAGGCUACCUAGAUAAGAACUUACAUUCUAUGAAGAUUGGCUGUAUUACAAAAGAAGGGUAAGUGGAUUUUAAGAAUACAAGAAAAUUCUUCCACAUCUAAAGACUUACCAUCAUACUCAGCUCUUUGCAAAAGUAUGUUUUAAAAACCUCCAGUCAGUUUCAUAGAAAUGUUGAUCAUUCCUUCCUUUAGAGUUUAAUAAGCUGAAUUUUCGUAACAUGUUGGAUUGUCUUGACUUACAUUGAUGAUUAAUGUAAGAAAAUCAUAAGAAAUAUUUUUCUUUUGCUUACGAAUAUGAAGACACAUAUAU